AUUGAACGCUGGCGGCAUGCCUUACACAUGCAAGUCGAACGGCAGCACGGGUGCUUGCACCUGGUGGCGAGUGGCGAACGGAUGAGUAAUACAUCGGAACGUACCUUAUCGUGGGGGAUAACGCAGCGAAAGCUGUGCUAAUACCGCAUACGCCCUGAGGGGGAAAGCGGGGGAUCGCAAGACCUUGCGCGAUUAGAGCGGCCGAUGCCUGAUUAGCUUGUUGGUGGGGUAAAAGCCCACCAAGGCGACGAUCAGUAGCUGGGCUGAGAGGACGAUCAGCCACACUGGGACUGAGACACGGCCCAGACUACUACGGGAGGCAGCAGUGGGGAAUUUUGGACAAUGGGUGCAACCCUGAACCAGCAAUGCCGCGUGAGUGAAGAAGGCCUUCGGGUUGUAAAGCUCUUUUGUCAGGGAAGAAACACCGGCUCUAACACAGUCCGGGAAUGACGGUACCUGAAGAAUAAGCACCGGCUAACUACGUGCCAGCAGCCGCCGUAA
rnacentral:rRNA from 1 species